rnacentral:rRNA from 1 species
AGGUAGCGAAAUUCCUUGUCGGGUAAGUUCCGACCCGCACGAAAGGCGUAAUGAUCUGGGCACUGUCUCAACAAUAGACUCGGUGAAAUUGUAGUACCGGUAAAGAUGCCGGUUACCCGCAGCAGGACGGAAAGACCCCGUGGAGCUUUACUGUAGCUUGAUAUUGGAUUUCGGCAUUGCAUGUACAGGAUAGGUGGGAGACGUUGAGCUAUGCACGCCAGUGUGUAGGGAGUCGCCGUUGGGAUACCACUCUUGUAAUGUUGAGGUUCUAACCUUGUACCGUGAUCCGGUAUGGGGACAGUGUCAGGUGGGCAGUUUGACUGGGGCGGUCGCCUCCUAAAGAGUAACGGAGGCGCCCAAAGGUUCCCUCAGUGCGGUUGGAAAUCGUGCGAAGAGUGCAAAGGCAGAAGGGAGCUUGACUGCGAGACCUACAAGUCGAGCAGGGACGAAAGUCGGGCUUAGUGAUCCGGUGGUACCGAGUGGAAGGGCCAUCGCUCAACGGAUAAAAGCUACCCCGGGGAUAACAGGCUAAUACCCCCCAAGAGUCCACAUCGACGGGGGUGUUUGGCACCUCGAUGUCGGCUCGUCUCAUCCUGGGGCUGAAGUAGGUCCCAAGGGUUGGGCUGUUCGCCCAUUAAAGAGGUACGCGAGCUGGGUUCAGAACGUCGUGAGACAGUUCGGUCCCUAUCCGCUGUGGGCGAGGGAUAUUUGAGUGGAGCUGCCCUUAGUACGAGAGGACCGGGGUGGACAUACCGCUGGUGCACCGGUUGCAGUGCCAACUGCAUAGCCGGGUAGCUAAGUAUGGAAGGGAUAAGCGCUGAAAGCAUCUAAGUGCGAAGCCCCCCACAAGACAAGAUAUCCUGACCGAAAGGUGAGAGAUCUCUGGAAGACGAACAGUUAGAUAGGUCGGAGGUGGAAGUGCAGUAAUGUAUGGAGCUGACCGAUACUAAUCGAUCGAAAACUUAACCAA